rnacentral:tRNA from 1 species
GGGUGGGUAUCUCAGUGGUAAAGUGCAUGCCUAGCAUGCGUGAGGUCCUGGGUUCAAUCCCAAGUACCUCCA